UGGGGAAUAUUGGACAAUGGGCGAAAGCCUGAUCCAGCGACGCCGCGUGGGUGAAGAAGGCCUGCGGGUUGUAAAGCCCUUUCGGUGGGAAGAAAGCUUCGACCUAAUACGUCGAGGUCUUGACGUAACCCACAGAAGAAGCACCGGCUAACUCUGUGCCAGCAGCCGCGGUAAUACAGAGGGUGCGAGCGUUAAUCGGAAUUACUGGGCGUAAAGCGCGCGUAGGCGGCUUUGCAAGUCGGGUGUGAAAUCCCUGGGCUUAACCUAGGAACUGCACUCGAGACUGCAUUGCUAGAGUAUGGUAGAGGGAAGUGGAAUUUCCGGUGUAGCGGUGAAAUGCGUAGAUAUCGGAAGGAACACCAGUGGCGAAAGCGACUUCCUGGACCAAUACUGACGCUCAGGCGCGAAAGCGUGGGGAGCAAACAGGAUUAGAUACCC
rnacentral:rRNA from 1 species